rnacentral:lncRNA from 1 species
CUUGGGGGCGCAAAAAUGAAAACUUGUCGUUAGAAUUAAAGCUCAAAGAAUGGACCUGAAUGAAUUUUUCCGAUCACUUACACUCUCUGUGAUCAUCACUGAUUUUAUGACGCAUGUUUUCCAUUCAAAAUGCACGCUGUGUCCAAUUCUUUUCAGAGCUGCGACAGCAAAUCAAGAGAACCUGAAAGCAUAUCAAGUUGUACCUCAAUUAUUUAAAAAGUUUCCUCCUCAUGAAGUGAAGGUUGAAUAUGAACAUGGAAGAAAAGUCGACUUUGGCACUAUCUUCUCAGAAGACGAAAUAGACAAUCCGCCGAACAAAAUUUCGUGGACCGUUGAAAGGAAGUAUGAGCGAGCAAAAUCAAGGUUUGCCUUAGGAAUGUUCGGACCUGAUAUACCCGCAAGAGAGAUAGCUAUUGGAACUUACCAAUGGCAGCAUUGGCUUAUUAUAGACAUCCCAGGUGACAAAUGGAAAGAUGGCCGGGUGGUGACUGAGUAUAAGGCCCAUGAGCCCUUCUACAUAAAUGAUUUACACAGAGUCUUUUUCAUCGUAUACAGACAAAAAGAGAAAGAUUCUCUCUUGUACACAGAUCCGUAUGUUUCCGUGCAUGCCUCAGACAAUCUGCGAGAAACUUUCACUGGGAAAAUUUAUCAAGAAAGUAUGAUUUGGGCGAUCCAUACGCGAUAA